CCAUCUGUUUAGGCUGAUCCCUCCUAGCAGCCCGGAGCUACUAGGGAGCAGGACGGGGGUCUCUGAAACACAAGUCACCAGUGGGAAUAAGGCCACUGGGCAGGAGGUUGUUUGUCUUUCCUCCCUCUCAGUGGGUGGAGUUUGCAAAGGACACACGGAGUAUUUUUUCUGGCUGGCCCCAUGUCCUUCCCGUGCAAUGCUUAGGGGAUGCUACCAGAGGCUCCUGGGAGUGGCAAUGGACUGGCUUCCAGAAAGACAAGUUAAAACCCUGCUCCAAGGUCUACAGGUGUCCAUUCAAGAAGAAGAUUAGAUCUUCGGACACGAAAGUCAUCCUCCUAGUCCCAGGUGUCUAGCAUCACAGAGGAGGAGACGGAAGAUGACAGAAGUGGCUCUGGCGCUCAAGACCAU